GGACUUGGGUGUUGCUGCUUUACUGUGGCUCACCUUAAAUGCAUUAGUGCAACUUUCGGUUGGACAUAGUACGGCGUGAUAAGUGUCUUCGCCGGCACCUCACAGAGGGUGGCCAAUCGGGAGCUCUGUGCUUCAAACCGUCUUCGGACAAUAACUGACAACUUGACCUCAAAUCGAGUAGGACUACCCGCUGAACUUAA
rnacentral:misc_RNA from 1 species